UAGCCAAGGAUGACUUGCCUGAUUUCCUAGCAUUUUGGGUUGUGGCUUGCAACAAUGUUUAUACAAAUUUAACCCUUGAUGCAGGUUCUCAGGCAGUCUCCUUGGCUAA
rnacentral:pre_miRNA from 1 species